CAAAUUAAAGCUAAAAAUAGUAUUUUAUUUACACUAAAAUUUUUAAUUGUUAAAUCAGUUUAAUUUGA
rnacentral:tRNA from 1 species